GGCUGCUAUAGGUCAAAUUCGAGGUACAAAAACUCAACACAACAAAGACAUCCUACAAUACAAAGACAUUCCAAUUAUCAAUUUAUCAUAUGAAGGAAAGACAGGCAGUUUUAUGUAUGUAAUUUCAAAAUUUUUUGAAAUUUAAAGCAGUGGAAGACUCUAGAUUAAUCAUAUUAACCUACUAUGCAUAAGAUUUGAUCUUAAAACAAUCUACAUAUGGACCGAU
rnacentral:lncRNA from 1 species